GCCGUUAACGGUUAGUAUACAAAACGUCAAAUUUAAGUAACAAAAAUGUUUUACAAUAUAGAUAUAGAAGUUGUUUUAACUAAAAAUAGUGAAAUAAAAAGAAAAACAAUCAUAGAUUUAGUUGAAAAAUAUUUAAUGCAAAUUAUUGUUAGACCAAAUAGUGUGAUAACUGUUAGAGGGGAAGAAAAUAUUUGUUUCUAUAAAGAUGUAGACACUAUUAUUGUAGGAGAAAUCCCAAACUAUGAUAAGUCUUUUGUGGAUUUCAGUAACUUGAAUAUUAAUUGGUUUGUGUAUAAAUUAAACACAGAAGAACCCUUUCAUCAAAACGAAGAGGAUGGAAAUGAUGGAGAAAUCACUAUAUCUACACAGUUAAUCCUUCCAUCUGCAUGUCUCCUGAAUAUGUGGGAAAAUUUGUUUUAUGAUAACGAUAUUAAACAAAACUUAUUAAAAUAUGCUCAAACCAUGAUGGAAUUUUCAGAUAAAGGUGUUGAUAAUAAUAUAAUUAGCUGUAAUAGGGUGAUUUUACUCCAUGGUCCUCCAGGUACUGGUAAAACUUCACUUUGUAAGGCGUUAGCACAAAAACUCACAAUUAGAAUGGGAAAAAGAUUUGGAUCUGGUAUACUAAUGGAAAUCAACAGCCACAGUUUAUUUUCAAAAUGGUUCUCUGAAAGUGGGAAAUUAGUGAAUAAAGUAUUUUCUAGAAUAAAUGAUAUUAUACAAAAUAAGAAUAUUUUAGUGUGUGUGCUACUUGAUGAAGUGGAAUCGUUAGCGCAUGCUAGAAAUCAGUGUCUAUCGGGUGUUGAACCAUCAGAUUCAAUAAGGGUUGUUAAUGCUCUUCUGACUCAGAUAGAUCAGAUUAAAAGAAACUCGAAUGUCUUAAUCUUCGCCACUUCCAAUAUCACUGAAACAAUUGAUUUAGCAUUUAUUGAUAGAGCUGACAUCAAACAAUUUCUAAACAACCCUUCCGUACAUGCAAUUUACAAAGUUUAUUAUACUUGCAUCAAUGAACUAAUUAAAGUGGAUGUUAUCAAGAAUGGAAUGCUGGAUCCUAUUGAAUACAUUAUCAAUAAUGCUAAAUCACCUUCAACAGAAACAAAUAAAUUAUUGGAUAUAUGUGAAAAAAGUCUGGGAUUAAGUGGAAGGUCUCUGAGGAAAAUACCAUUUUUAGCUCAUGCUUUAUAUUUAGAAUCAUCAAGCUCUCUCCAAGAAUUUUUGGGUGCUAUGGAACAAGCGGUGAUCAAAGAAAUUUCAGAAAGGAAACAUUUGAAAAGACUCGAAUAAAAUAAAGUUGAUAUUUUUUUCCUGUGAAUUAAUGUAAGAACGUCAGUUGCUCUUUUCGAAUACACUGAACAAUUUAAUCAUGUAUUCACAAACUCUGUAGAUUACGUUCAUAAUUUACCUUCUCCAAGAUGUAUUAAAAGUCAUCUUCCUUUAAAACUGCUUCCAGUAGGACUCCAAGAGAUCAAACCUAAGAUUAUUUAUUGUCUAAGAGAUCCAAAGGACACAUGCGUUUCAUUUUACUACCACGUGAAACUCCUACAUAAUUUCAACGUUGACUUCGAAACGUUCUGUGAACUUUUUACCAACGGCGCUGUUAUCUACGGCGAUCAAAUUGAACACAGUUUGGAAUUUUGGAAUAAGAAAAAUGAAGAUAACAUUUUUAUUGUUCAUUAUGAAGAUAUGAAACUGGAUACAAAAAAAUUCAUACGAAAUUUAGCAGAUUUUUUGGGAAAAAAAGUGUCCGAUGCUGAAAUCGAAGCAUUAAACGAUUUUCUACAAUUUUCUAAAAUGAGAAAAAAUAGGAGCUGCAACUGUGAAGUUCUUGUUAAUAAGAAAGGAGGAAAAGAUUAUUUUGACAAACUAGGAUAUCACUUUAUAAGGAAAGGGGAAGUAGGAGAUUGGAAAAAUCACAUGUCCAAUGAAAUUGUUAAGAAGUUUGACGAUUGGAUUAAGCAGAAAACUGUGGGAACCGACUUUAUUACUCGUUAAAAUAUUACCUAAUCUUACCUUUAAUUUCUCCCUUCUUCUUUGCAAAUACGAGGCUUGUUCAUGAAAUAAAGUUUCCAACGAAUUUUCACGAUAAAAAACAUGUUUAUUGGAAUUGAAUAAAACAAGUUUGUAAACCUUUUUUUUUACAUAAUCGCCGUUUAGAUCAAUGCAUUUUUGCAUACAAGAUUAAUUAAAACUUACCAUUUCAGCUCUCCAGGGAAGAGAUGGUUAUCACUGGGAUCCAAAUAUGGGCUUUAGGGGUUUGCGAUACAGUAUUUCAUCCAAAUCUGUUAAUGAGAUCAGUCGUGAUACGUGGGGUGUGUGGACACGCGUUGUCAUGGAGUCAGACUCUAUUUAUGAGCAAGUCUCUUCUCUUGUUUUGAAUCGCGCAUCCGACAGUAGUUAUCCGCAACAAUUGUUAUACAGGUAUUCAUACAACAACUGUUUCCUGUUCUAUCACUUUGCCCGCAUACAGAAUUUUCUUAAACUUGUUUCCACUGACGGGAUUAUUCUUUUGUGUAUAGUGUUAGUAAUGGAUCCAGAUCUUGUCCACAGUGAAGAAAAAUUACUCGCCAUACUUCAUACAAAAUCCACUUUGCACAAUCCUGAGCAUAUCCUAAGCAGGUUUUUGAAAUGUUGUGAAUGCAGGGCUGACCGUUAUCCUGCGAUUUUCACCAUUUUCAUAAUCACCUCGUCCGAAAACGUAAGAAUGUUUUCAUCAAAUGAAUGUCCAUUGGAGGAACCUUUUUGGCAUACAAAAAACGAUUCACGGAGCGUAAUUCGCACCUGGCGUGGGAAUCAAAUGGAAUCUUCAUCUUUCAUGCCUACCAGGACAAGAAUAAACGUUGUAGAUAGCUCGACGGGGAGGGAAUUGGGAGAAAGGGAACCAAGCUAUCCGACAGUCUCGCUAAAUCUCCUCUAACAGUGUUCUUAGCGUCAUCAGCUUCCUAUGAACAUUAUUUUAUGGAUAAUCCUUGUUUAUGUGAAUAUUUUUGUUUUUAAUAAAAACUGUGAAUAAAAAUUGUGUAAAACGAA